AAAAUAUGGGUUUAGUUUUAAAAAAAACGCACAUAUUAAAUGUAAUAUAUAUAUAUAUAUAUAGAGAGAGAGAGAGAGAGAGAGAGAGUUGAGCUAGAAUACUAUCAAUAGUAAACGAGCCGUUUUACUACCGAUUUGUUUUCGAUGAUAGAACUUCCAAAUUGACGAUCAGCUCCGUUGAACAUGAUCUAUACCACUUGAAGUGUUUAGAAAUCAAAUUUCAAAUCUUUUCGACAUCAUUUGCCUAAUGAUCAAAGGGUUUCAAAUUUUGUAAUUUUAAUGGUUGAUCAGAGGCGUUUUCUCGUUUAACGGUGUAAAGAUAUCCAAAUUAAUUGAAUUUUUGUUAGAAAAUUCUUUAAACUAUUUAAAACAAGAUCUAUACUCUUGAUCUUGAUUACAAGACUCCUAUCGUCAUUUUUUAAAGAGUGUUCAUUUUCAGUCAUUCAUUUUUCUGUUCACUUGAUGGAUAAAAGAACAAUAUCGAAAGUGCGUGAAAUUUGAUUUCUAGAUAGUUUAA
rnacentral:lncRNA from 1 species